CACUGCCGAGAAAAGCCUCUAGAUAGAAAAUAGGUGCCCGUACCGCAAACCGACACAGGUAGUCAAGAUGAGAAUUCUAAGGUGAGCGAGCGAACUCUCGUUAAGGAACUCGGCAAAAUGACCCCGUAACUUCGGGAGAAGGGGUGCUCUUUAGGGUUAACGCCCAGAAGAGCCGCAGUGAAUAGGCCCAAGCGACUGUUUAUCAAAAACACAGGUCUCUGCUAAACCGUAAGGUGAUGUAUAGGGGCUGACGCCUGCCCGGUGCUGGAAGGUUAAGAGGAGUGGUUAGCUUCUGCGAAGCUACGAAUCGAAGCCCCAGUAAACGGCGGCCGUAACUAUAACGGUCCUAAGGUAGCGAAAUUCCUUGUCGGGUAAGUUCCGACCCGCACGAAAGGCGUAACGAUUUGGGCACUGUCUCAACGAGAGACUCGGUGAAAUCAUAGUACCUGUGAAGAUGCAGGUUACCCGCGACAGGACGGAAAGACCCCGUGGAGCUUUACUGUAGCCUGAUAUUGAAAUUCGGCACAGCUUGUACAGGAUAGGUAGGAGCCUUUGAAACGUGAGCGCUA
rnacentral:rRNA from 1 species